AGAGUUUGAUCCUGGCUCAGGAUGAACGCUAGCUACAGGCUUAACACAUGCAAGUCGAGGGGAAACGACAUCGAAAGCUUGCUUUUGAUGGGCGUCGACCGGCGCACGGGUGAGUAACGCGUAUCCAACCUGCCCAUCACUUGGGGAUAACCUUGCGAAAGUAAGACUAAUACCCAAUGACGUCUCUAGAAGACAUCUGAAAGAGAUUAAAGAUUAUCGGUGAUGGAUGGGGAGUGCGUCUGAUUAGCUUGUUGGCGGGGUAACGGGCCCACCAAGGCGACGAUCAGUAGGGGUUCUGAGAGGAAGGUCCCCGACAUUGGAACUGAGACACGGUCCAAACUCCUACGGGAGGCA
rnacentral:rRNA from 1 species